UACGAAGGGUGCUAGCGUUGUUCGGAAUUACUGGGCGUAAAGCGCGCGUAGGCGGCUUAACAAGUCAGGGGUGAAAUCCCACAGCUCAACUGUGGGAUUGCCUUUGAAACUGUUGAGCUAGAGUGUCGGAGGGGAUAGCGGAAUUGCUAAUGUAGAGGUGAAAUUCGUAGAUAUUAGCAGGAACACCGGUGGCGAAGGCGGCUAUCUGGACGACAACUGACGCUGAGGCGCGAAAGCACGGGGAUCAAACAGG
rnacentral:rRNA from 1 species